AGGGAGAACCUGGAAUUCAGGGCUACCAUGGAAGAAAGGGUGAGGCAGGUGAAACUGGCUUACCAGGACCCCCUGGCCUUCCUGGUCCUAUUGGUCCAAAGGGUGAAAAGGGAGAACGUAGUAUGAAGGUAGGGAUGCAAAUAUUAUUUAUGUAUUUCUUUAUUUAUGCAUUUAUUUAUUACUAGCUGUGUCCACAUUGCUGUGGCCC